UACGUAGGCAGCAAGCGUUGUUCGGAGUUACUGGGCGUAAAGGGUGUGUAGGCGGUUGUUUAAGUUUGGUGUGAAAUCUCCCGGCUCAACCGGGAGGGUGCGCCGAAUACUGAAUGACUAGAGUGCGGGAGAGGAAAGUGGAAUUCCUGGUGUAGCGGUGAAAUGCGUAGAUAUCAGGAGGAACACCGGUGGUGUAGACGGCUUUCUGGACCGUAACUGACGCUGAGGCACGAAAGCGUGGGGAGCAAACAGG
rnacentral:rRNA from 1 species